GCGUGCCGGGGGACGGGACGGGACGGGACGGCGCGGCGGGAGGGCUGCUCGCACACCGCUGCUGAGUAGAAGGGCGAGGGGCGCUGGGGACGCACUGAGGAAGCCCAGCGAAGUGAAAAGCAGGAUUUUAUGAUAAUUUUUGCUGUGGUUUGUUGCCUAAACCCGAGGAGCAGCUCACCUACGCGCCCUCCAGCCCGCCUCUCACGGCGCGGCUGUUUCCUGCUGCCCCCCGGCCCCGCCCUUUGCUUUUGCUCAUCUGACUUUCUGGUGGAGCUGUGUGGAGUCUCCCGGCAGCUGCGUGUACACGUCAUUAACUGCAUAAAAUCCCUUAACGGAUAACUUGCAGAAUAGUUCCUAAUUCGGUUUGUAUAGAUGGAUAAUUGUAACUUCUCUUUGCAGUUAUUUUUUACUUUGCUGUUGUCCUACUGUGGCGGUGUGCUCUCCCUGGUUUGCCCCCCCCCCUCCCUCUCGGCUCCUGCCCGGACUUUAUGACAAUACAGAAAUAUUAUGGGUAAUGAAGUCAUCCCAUAAAAUUCAUUGUCUUGUAGAGUGACCACAAAAUCCAGUCUACAUGGUGAUCGUCCACCGUGGCAAGAUUUUACUGUAUCUGACCUGGGACCAGCUAAUGGAUUGCCGGUAACAUAUAUCAACAAGAUGCAAGGUCUGCUGAGGGUACAAGUGAAGAAAAUACAGUCUAAAAAGGUGCAAACCACAGAAGAAUGGCUAAGAAAGUACAGUUUAGAAUCCUUACAAUUGACAUUAAAGCAUCUGAUAAAUGAAGGCAAUAUUUUUUUGAAUUCGGGAAAUGGUGUUGAAGAGAUGGAGUUUACAGAAGAGACCGUUACUGAUUUUGAGUCCAGACUUUCUGAACAAAUUGCUAAACCAGUUGCUACCUCGAAGUAUGUGUCCUGCCACCUAUCAGAAGAGCGCUGGUUUUGCAGCAAGAGUGGGUAA
rnacentral:lncRNA from 1 species